rnacentral:ncRNA from 2 species
UCAACACGACAGGGGAGCGUCUACCCGCUAAUGGGUACUGGCGCUGAGAGUGCGGUUCGCCGCAGACCCUCGAACCUGCUCCGGUUAGUACCGGCGAAGGGAGUCGAGUUCUCUUCGGU